AUCCAUCUGAUGAGUCCCAAAUAGAACGAAACACACUUCCUAAAU
rnacentral:hammerhead_ribozyme from 1 species